rnacentral:rRNA from 1 species
CCCUACUGCUAUCGGGGCGGGACUAAGACAUGCAAGUCGUGCGUCUCUAAGCCAUGGUAGAGACGCGGCGUACGGCUCAGUAACACGUGGCUAACCUACCCUUAGGACGGAGACAACCCCGGGAAACUGGGGCUAAUACCCGAUAGGUGAGGAGGCCUGGAAUGGUUCUUCGCUGAAAAGGCGUUGAAACCAUGCUUUUCAACGUCGCCUAAGGAUGGGGCCGCGUCCGAUCAGGUUGUUGGUGGGGUAACGGCUCACCAAGCCUAUAACCGGUACGGGCCGUGAGAGCGGGAGCCCGGAGAUGGGCACUGAGAUAAGGGCCCAGGCCCUACGGGGCGCAGCAGUCGCGAAAACUCCGCAAUGCGCGAAAGCGUGACGGGGCUACCCCGAGUGCCGUCCGCUGAGGAUGGCUUUUCCCCGGUGUAAUGAGCCGGGGGAAUAAGGAGAGGGCAAGUCUGGUGUCAGCCGCCGCGGUAAUACCAGCUCUCCGAGUAGUAGGGACGAUUAUUGGGCUUAAAGCGUCCGUAGCCGGCUUAGCAAGUCUCCUGUUAAAUUCAGCGACCUAAUCGUUGAGCCGCGGGAGAUACUACUAGGCUAGGAGGCGGGAGAGGCCGACGGUAUUUCCGGGGUAGGGGUGAAAUCCUAUAAUCCCGGGAGGACCACCAGUGGCGAAGGCUGUCGGCUAGAACGCGCUCGACGGUGAGGGACGAAAGCUGGGGGAGCGAACCGGAUUAGAUACCCGGGUAGUCCCAGCUGUAAACGAUGCGGGCUAGGUGUUGAGGUGGCUACGAGCCACUUCAGUGCCGCAGGGAAGCCCUUAAGCCCGCCGCCUGGGGAGUACGGCCGCAAGGCUGAAACUUAAAGGAAUUGGCGGGGGAGCACCACAAGGCGUGAAGCUUGCGGUUC